rnacentral:rRNA from 1 species
AGUUCGGACUGUAGUCUGCAACCCGACUACACGAAGCCGGAAUCGCUAGUAAUCGCGGAUCAGAAUGCCGCGGUGAAUACGUUCCCGGGUCUUGUACACACCGCCCGUCACACCAUGGGAGUCGGAAAUGCCCGAAGUCAGUGACCCAACCGGAAGGAAGGAGCUGCCGAAGGUGGAGCCGGUAACUGGGGUGAAGUCGUAACAAGGUAGC